GUGAACGCUGGCGGUAGGCCUAACACAUGCAAGUCGAACGGCAGCACCGUAAGAGCUUGCUCUUACGGGUGGCGAGUGGCGGACGGGUGAGGAAUACAUCGGAAUCUACUUUUUCGUGGGGGAUAACGUAGGGAAACUUACGCUAAUACCGCAUACGACCUACGGGUGGAAGCAGGGGAUCUUCGGACCUUGCGCGAUUGAAUGAGCCGAUGUCGGAUUAGCUAGUUGGCGGGGUAAAGGCCCACCAAGGCGACGAUCCGUAGCUGGUCUGAGAGGAUGAUCAGCCACACUGGAACUGAGACACGGUCCAGACUCCUACGGGAGGCAGCAGUGGGGAAUAUUGGACAAUGGGGGCAAGCCUGAUCCAGCCAUACCGCGUGGGUGAAGAAGGCCUUCGGGUUGUAAAGCCCUUUUGUUGGGAAAGAAAAGCAGCAGGUUAAUACCUCGCUGUUCUGACGGUACCCAAAGAAGAAGCACCGGCUAACUUCGUG
rnacentral:rRNA from 1 species